UGGCGUCUUUUUCCGGGUCCAAUUCGGCCGUUGUGGGCCUCUGGAGGUGUUUGGGUCCGAGUUCCGGGCUCUGGGGGUGUCUGGUAAAGAGAUCCGGGUUCUGGCGUCUUUUUCCGGACUUAAUUCGGCCGUUGUGGGCCUCUGGAGGUGUUUGGGUCCGAGUUCCGGGCUCUGGGGGUGUCUGGUAGAGAGAUCCGGGUUCUGGCGUCUUUUUCCGGACUUAAUUCGGCCGUUGUGGGCCUCUGGAGGUGUUUGGGUCCGAGUUCCGGGCUCUGGGGGUGUCUGGUAAAGAGAUCCGGGUUCUGGCGUCUUUUUCCGGACUUAAUUCGGCCGUUGUGGGCCUCUGGAGGUGUUUGGGUCCGAGUUCGGGGCUCUGGGGGGUGUU
ensembl:lncRNA